rnacentral:rRNA from 1 species
CCCCAGUAACGGCGAGUGAAGCGGCAACAGCUCAAAUUUGAAAUCUGGUCCCCAGGGCCCGAGUUGUAAUUUGCAGAGGAUGCUUUUGGCGAGGCGCCUUCCGAGUUCCCUGGAACGGGACGCCAUAGAGGGUGAGAGCCCCGUCUGGUUGGAUGCCGAGCCUCUGUAAAGCUCCUUCGACGAGUCGAGUAGUUUGGGAAUGCUGCUCUAAAUGGGAGGUAUAUGUCUUCUAAAGCUAAAUACCGGCCAGAGACCGAUAGCGCACAAGUAGAGUGAUCGAAAGAUGAAAAGCACUUUGAAAAGAGGGUUAAAUAGUACGUGAAAUUGUUGAAAGGGAAGCGCUUAUGACCAGACUUGGGCCCGGUGAAUCAUCCAGCGUUCUCGCUGGUGCACUUUGCCGGGCUCAGGCCAGCAUCAGUUUGCCCCGGGGGAUAAAGGCUUUGGGAAUGUGGCUCCCUCGGGAGUGUUAUAGCCCAUUGCACAAUACCCUGGGGCGGACUGAGGUUCGCGCAUCUGCAAGGAUGCUGGCGUAAUGGUCAUCAGCGACCCGUCUUGAAACACGGACCAAGGAGUCGUCUUCGUAUGCGAGUGUUCGGGUGUCAAACCCCUACGCGUAAUGAAAGUGAACGCAGGUGAGAGCUUCGGCGCAUCAUCGACCGAUCCUGAUGUUCUCGGAUGGAUUUGAGUAAGAGCAUACGGGGCCGGACCCGAAAGAAGGUGAACUAUGCCUGUAUAGGGUGAAGCCAGAGGAAACUCUGGUGGAGGCUCGCAGCGGUUCUGACGUGCAAAUCGAUCGUCAAAUAUGGGCAUGGGGGCGAAAGACUAAUCGAA